rnacentral:rRNA from 1 species
CCUGGCGGCCAUAGCGCCGUGGAACCACCUGAUCCCAUGCCGAACUCAGAAGUGAAACGCGGUAGCGCCGAUGGUAGU